rnacentral:ncRNA from 1 species
CCACGAUAAAGGCUAAGCCGUCGAAAGACGGUGGCGCAAAGCCAUGGGUCUAAAGCUUAUUGCUAUGAUCGCCAGGCUGCCGAA